rnacentral:siRNA from 1 species
AACGUACCUUGAACCCAGCAUCUC